rnacentral:rRNA from 1 species
GUGCCAGCAGCCGCGGUAAUACGUAGGGGGCUAGCGUUAUCCGGAAUUACUGGGCGUAAAGGGUGCGUAGGUGGUUUCUUAAGUCAGAGGUGAAAGGCUACGGCUCAACCGUAGUAAGCCUUUGAAACUGGGAAACUUGAGUGCAGGAGAAGGAGAGUGGAAUCCCUAGUGUAGCGGUGAAAUGCGUAGAUAUUAGGAGGACCACCAGUUUGCGAAGGCGGCUCUCUGUACUGUAACUGACACUGAGGCACGAAAGCGUGGGGAGCAAACAGGAUUAGAUACCCUGGUAGUCC